rnacentral:rRNA from 1 species
UAGGGAAUCUUCGGCAAUGGACGAAAGUCUGAGCGAGCAACGCCGCGUGAGUGAAGAAGGUUUUCGGAUCGUAAAACUCUGUUGUUAGAGAAGAACAAGGACGUUAGUAACUGAACGUCCCCUGACGGUAUCUAACCAGAAAGCCACGGCUAACUACGUGCCAGCAGCCGCGGUAAUACGUAGGUGGCAAGCGUUGUCCGGAUUUAUUGGGCGUAAAGCGAGCGCAGGCGGUUUCUUAAGUCUGAUGUGAAAGCCCCCGGCUCAACCGGGGAGGGUCAUUGGAAACUGGGAGACUUGAGUGCAGAAGAGGAGAGUGGAAUUCCAAGUGUAGCGGUGAAAUGCGUAGAUAUAUGGAGGAACACCAGUGGCGAAGGCGGCUCUCUGGUCUGUAACUGACGCUGAGGCUCGAAAGCGUGGGGAGCAAACAGG